rnacentral:lncRNA from 1 species
UUUUUUUUUUUUUUUUUUUUUUUUUGUGAUAGUCACAGAGAGAGAGAGAAUGAGGCAGAGGGAGAAGCAGGCUCCAUGCACCGGGAGCCCGACGUGGGAUUCGAUCCCGGGUCUCCAGGAUCGCGCCCUGGGCCAAAGGCAGGCGCCAAACCGCUGCGUCACCCAGGGAUCCCCAUGAUCGCUUUUAAAUUAGGACUCGGGAGAGGAUCCAGUGAAAAGUCAGGGUGUAGGGGAAACAGAGUUACGGAAAAGUAGCAGGUGUAUUGAGGGAGGUAGUGCAGACCCUGUGCAACUAAGAAUGAGGUGCUGGGAGAGAUAGUGGCAGGUGGCACAGAGGAGCAGCCUGUCCCGCAGCUUCAUGGGGUAGCUCACAAAGGUUUACCAGACAGUUCAGAAACAUUCAAGAUAUUUUUGUGCCCCUAGUCUGCCUACUCAAGGACAGACUGUCCAGAGUGACUGCUACCAGCUAAUCAGAUAACCCAUAAAAACUGUACAAACAGGGAUGCCUGGGUGGCCCCCUGGUUGAGCACCUGCCUUUGGCUCGGGGCGUGGUCCUGGAGUUCUGGGAUCGAGUCCCACAUCAGGCUCCCUGCAUGGAGCCUGCUUCUCCCUCUGCCUGUGUCUCUGCCUCUCUCUGUCUCUCUCAUGAAUAAAUAAGAUUUUUUUAAAAAAUUAAAAAAAAAAUGUACAAACAAGAUGCACUCUUCUCAGACUACAAUUAUUUUUCUCUCCUUUUUUCCCCCGUUUUAAUAAAUCCUGUUUUGCCUCUGUGGGGUGAAAUCCAUUUACUAAUUUAUCCUCUUUGUAAAUAAGUAAACAUUGUGCUAUAAUUUAGUGUAUUUGUGACUUUGGGUUAUACUUUGACACUGCUCUGCCUUGUUUCCUUUCUUAAAGAAUCCAUACAAGAAAGGUAGCAUUUGCUAUUUGCAACAGAAAAUUAGAAAGUUACUUAAAACUACUGCUACCUCUGAACCUUUUUUCUUUUGUUGCAUAUACAAAGGACUUUUAUCUCCACUGCUUGAAGCAUCCCCAUCCCUAGCUUUGAUUGUUCCUGUCAAGGGGAUCAUUUUCCACCAAUAAUAACCUGCCCAUCCUUGAAACUCCAUUCAAGCUUACCUCAUGUAGAUUGCAUUAGCAUUUUAAUGCAUUUAAUAAUCCUAAACAAGGACCCAGGAUCACAGGGUUGACUCCCUCAUGAUGGAGACAUAUAUUAAUUGCCAGACUGCCUCCUCCCAUCUCCUAUGCAUGACCUUCCCUUAUCACCUUACCGUUCUAACAGUCCUCAAUUUCUAUAGCUCCUAUGACCUUUACCGUGCAAAUUAGAAUUUACCUUCUAUCUUUAACUUUCUUGGUUGUUUUAUGCAGAUUAGUCUCCUCAUGCCAAGUAGGCAAGGAUGGCUGCAUCCUUGGCAUCUACUAUAGUAGGCCAGUGACUAUCUCAUUGGAGAUUGUAAUGAAUUUGAUUACUUGAGUUAAAUGAAAAAUGUAAAAGAUUUAACCAAAAUGAAUAGUAUGACUAUGCUAGUAUUUCAUUUUGAGUUGAGUGGAUUAUGUAUUAUAGGUAUGAAUCAUUUUGUUUGCAUAUUAGAAUAUAGGAUUUGGAGUACAUGACAAAGCCUGUUCUGUUGGCAGUUGACAUCGGCCUCACUACAGAGCAAAAGGUAUGUCAGUAACAUGACCAUAUGGAAAAAUACUCGCAAGAAAUGCCAUGAAAAUCCAGGAGGGGGGCAGCCCAGGUGGCUCAGCAGUUUAGUGCUGCUUUCAGCCCAGGGCCAGAUCCUGGAGACCCGGGAUCGAGUCCCACGUCGGGCUUCCUGUGUGGAGCCU